AUGAUUAUAAUUUAUUGUUAUUUAUUAGUUUGCAAAUCUAAGAAAUUUUCAUAUU
rnacentral:tRNA from 1 species